AAGGGGAGCGGCAGACGGGUGAGUAACGCGUGGGAAUCUACCCAUCACUACGGAACAACUCCGGGAAACUGGAGCUAAUACCGUAUACGUCCUUCGGGAGAAAGAUUUAUCGGUGAUGGAUGAGCCCGCGUUGGAUUAGCUAGUUGGUGGGGUAAUGGCCUACCAAGGCGACGAUCCAUAGCUGGUCUGAGAGGAUGAUCAGCCACACUGGGACUGAGACACGGCCCAGACUCCUACGGGAGGCAGCAGUGGGGGAUAUUGGACAAUGGGCGCAAGCCUGAUCCAGCCAUGCCGCGUGAGUGAUGAAGGCCCUAGGGUUGUAAAGCUCUUUCAACGGUGAAGAUAAUGACGGUAACCGUAGAAGAAGCCCCCGGCUAACUUCGUGCCAGCAGCCGCGGUAAUACGAAGGGGGCUAGCGUUGUUCGGAUUUACUGGGCGUAAAGCGCACCGUAGGCGGAUUGUUAAGUUAGGGGUGAAAUCCCAGGGCUCAAACCCCUGGAACUGCCUUUAAUAACUGGCAAUCUCGAGUCCGGAAGAGGUGAGUGGAUUCCGAGUGUAGAGGUGAAAUUCGUAGAUAUUCGGAGGACACCAGUGGCGAAGGCGGCUCACUG
rnacentral:rRNA from 1 species